UACGUAGGUGGCAAGCGUUGUCCGGAAUUACUGGGCGUAAAGCGUGCGUAGUCGGUUAUUUAAGUCGGGUGUGAAAGCCCCGGGCUCAACCUGGGAAUUGCAUUCGAUACUGGAUAGCUAGAGUUCGGCAGAGGGAAGCGGAAUUUCCGGUGUAGCGGUGAAAUGCGUAGAUAUCGGAAGGAACAUCAGUGGCGAAGGCGGGUCUCUGGGCCGAUACUGACGCUGAGGAGCGAAAGCGUGGGGAGCGAACAGG
rnacentral:rRNA from 1 species